rnacentral:rRNA from 1 species
UACGUAGGGUGCGAGCGUUAAUCGGAAUUACUGGGCGUAAAGCGUGCGCAGGCGGUGCGUUAAGACCGAUGUGAAAUCCCCGGGCUCAACCUGGGGAAUUGCGAUGGAGACUGCAAGGCUGGAGUCUGGCAGAGGGGGGUAGAAUUCCACGUGUAGCAGUGAAAUGCGUAGAGAUGUGGAGGAACACCGAUGGCGAAGGCA